rnacentral:snRNA from 1 species
AUACUUACCUGGCAGAGGAGAUACCAUGAUCAUGAAGGUGGUUUUCUCUGGGUGAGGCUCAUCCACUGCACUGCGGGUCUGCUGACCUCUGCGAUUUCCCCAAAUAGGAGAAACUCGACUAUAAUUUGUAGUAUAAAUGUCACUUUGGCUUC